UACGUAGGGUGCAAGCGUUAAUCGGAAUUACUGGGCGUAAAGCGUGCGCAGGCGGUUUUGUAAGUCUGACGUGAAAUCCCCGGGCUCAACCUGGGAAUUGCGUUGGAGACUGCAAGGCUAGAAUCUGGCAGAGGGGGGUAGAAUUCCACGUGUAGCAGUGAAAUGCGUAGAGAUGUGGAGGAACACCGAUGGCGAAGGCAGCCCCCUGGGUCAAGAUUGACGCUCAUGC
rnacentral:rRNA from 1 species